rnacentral:rRNA from 1 species
GACGAACGCUGGCGGCGUGCCUAACACAUGCAAGUCGAGCGAACAGACCAGGCGUUUGCGCCGCUGACGUAAGCGGCGGACGGGAGAGUCACAUGUGGAUAACCUACCUAUAAGACUGGGAUAACUUUGGGAAACCGGCGCUAAUACGGGAUAAUAUAUUGAACCGCAUUGGGCAAUAGUGAAAGUCGGUUGUGCGGGCAGUAAUAGAUGGAUAAGCGCCGGAUUAGCUGGUUGGUAAGGUAACGGAUUACCAAGGCGACGAUGCGUAGCCGACCUCAGAGGGUGAUCGGCCACCCGGGAAGUGAGACAGGGUCCAGACGCCUGCGGGAAGCCGCAGUCGGGAAUCUUACGCAAUGGGGGAGAGCCUGACGUAACACCGCCGCGUGAGUGCUGAAGGUGCUCGGAUCGGAAAGCUCUGUUAUUAGGGAGGAACAAAUGUGUAAGUAGCUGUGCACGUAUUGACGGUACCUGAUCAAGAAGCCCCGGCUAACUACGUG